GAGAGCGGUAAGAUGGCGGCGGCGGCGGUGGUGGAGUUCCAGAGAGCCCAGUCUCUACUCAGCACCGACCGGGAGGCCUCCAUCGACAUCCUCCACUCCAUCGUGAAGCGUGACAUUCAGGAAAACGAUGAAGAGGCAGUGCAAGUCAAAGAGCAGAGCAUCCUGGAACUGGGAUCUCUCCUGGCAAAGACUGGACAAGCUGCAGGUAAGUGCUACACAUGGAUUGUACCUGAAAUGCUCAGUGAAAUUCCUGUCUUUUGUUGGAGUGAAGAAUCAUGGGACUGAUCCACAAACUGAAUUCAGCUUUAUUUUCUUGGCAAGUUGUUGAGCUUCAGUUUUUUAGCAGGCAGUUAAGUGGCCUUUAAACUCACUUCUUUCAUGGUAGUUUAGUUUUGCAAAUGAGAGACAAUCUUAUUUUGUUGGGAUAUAGUGAUUUCUGAUUUGUUUCUGGUUUUUGAAUUCUCACUGUAUUCGCUUACAUAGAGGCAGCA
rnacentral:sRNA from 1 species